rnacentral:lncRNA from 1 species
AGGGGGUGGUUCUUCAAUCUUCAGGGAAUCAAGCGGUAGCACUGGAUGCUGACAUGCAUGGAAGGUAGGAGUAAUGGAGUAUAUGUAUUUGUAGCAAUUCAUCAUCGCCCAUAAAUAAAUCAUCUUUGCCCCGCUUCCUCUGUCCGUCCGUCAACUCAAAUUGCUUUGGUUCACAAGUUCGUUUCAUCGUACAUCUAGGUACACUAGAACAGAGAGACUACUUUCCUUGAAUGGCUCAUGCGAGUAAACUGGCAAUAGUGUUCAUCCAAGAUGCAUUUGUAUAUGUAUCUUCAUAGAGAUGUAGAUGCGUAGGUAGUUCAAUAGUGCGCAUGUUCAUCGAGAGGGAUGUAGAUGUAGUAUACAACCGAGGUUACAUUGACAAGUUAGUCCAUUAUGCUCCCAGGAAAAAUAAAAUAUGGUAUAUUGUUUCACACUAUCAUCAAUAGUGAAGCUUGUAUUUAAUAUUUCUUUGUUUUGCAAUGCUGAAUAUUUGGGGAACACACAGUGAGGUGUAAUAUGUAGAGUAUAGACUACAGAUUCACCGAAUCAGCUUGAACAUUGUUAUAUCAUGCUUCAUAUGAUUUGGUAAUGAUUUUAAAACAUGGAAUGGGGCAAAUAAAGUUGAAACCUGGUACUGUUCGUCCCAUAAAAAACAGUUACUAUCGUUAUUUCUUACCAACUAAUGAUGCAUUUCUCCGGCUAUGAUUACAUCAGCUAACUACUCCAUGAUUACAGCAGUAAACAAUGAUAGGAAUACAAGCAUUGGAGUACUCGCCAUGUUCGAGGAAGUCAUCGUGGUGCUCGAGGAAUUCGUAGCUGAUGGCGGCAUCAUCAUGGAGCAGGCACCAUCUUCUCCUCUAUUUAAACUGUAGUACUUCAUGUACUCCCACUUGUAAACUUUCUGAAAUGCAAAUGCACUCCAAGAAUGUGCUCUGAAAUGGAGAAACAUGGAGUAUACUCUAAAAAUCAGUUUGGUGCCUGCCCAGUAGAUCAAUCAAAGUACUCUGGGCAUGAUAA